CAUCUGGAAAGAUGAAUCAAAGAAGGUAAUAAUCCUGUAGUCGAAAAUGUUGUCUCUCUUGAGUGGAUCCUGAGUACGACGGAGCACGUGAAAUUCCGUCGGAAUCUGGGAGGACCAUCUCCUAAGGCUAAAUACUCUCUAGUGACCGAUAGUGAACCAGUACCGUGAGGGAAAGGUGAAAAGCACCCCGGAAGGGGAGUGAAAUAGAACCUGAAACCGUGUGCUUACAAGUAGUCAGAGCCCGUUAAUGGGUGAUGGCGUGCCUUUUGUAGAAUGAACCGGCGAGUUACGAUUUGAUGCAAGGUUAAGCAGUAAAUGUGGAGCCGUAGCGAAAGCGAGUCUGAAUAGGGCGUUUAGUAUUUGGUCGUAGACCCGAAACCAGGUGAUCUACCCUUGGUCAGGUUGAAGUUCAGGUAACACUGAAUGGAGGACCGAACCGACUUACGUUGAAAAGUGAGCGGAUGAACUGAGGGUAGCGGAGAAAUUCCAAUCGAACCUGGAGAUAGCUGGUUCUCUCCGAAAUAGCUUUAGGGCUAGCCUCAAGUGAUGAUUAUUGGAGGUAGAGCACUGUUUGGACGAGGGGCCCCUCUCGGGUUACCGAAUUCAGACAAACUCCGAAUGCCAAUUAAUUUAACUUGGGAGUCAGAACAUGGGUGAUAAGGUCCGUGUUCGAAAGGGAAACAGCCCAGACCACCAGCUAAGGUCCCAAAAUAUAU
rnacentral:rRNA from 1 species